CCCUAAGGCGAGGCCGAAAGGCGUAGUCGAUGGGAAACGGGUUAAUAUUCCCGUACUUGGUGUUACUGCGAAGGGGGGACGGAGAAGGCUAUGUUGGCCGGGCGACGGUUGUCCCGGUUUAAGCGUGUAGGUGUGUGUUCCAGGUAAAUCCGGUUCACUUUAACACUGAGGCGUGACGACGAGGCACUACGGUGCUGAAGCAACAAAUGCCCUGCUUCCAGGAAAAGCCUCUAAGCAUCAGGUAACAUCAAAUCGUACCCCAAACCGACACAGGUGGUCAGGUAGAGAAUACCAAGGCGCUUGAGAGAACUCGGGUGAAGGAACUAGGCAAAAUGGUGCCGUAACUUCGGGAG
rnacentral:rRNA from 3 species